CCCUUAGAUGUUCUGGGCCGCACGCGUGCUACACUGAGUAAAUCAAUGGGUAAGGGAACACGAAAGUGCAACCUAAUCUUGAAAUUUGCUCGUGAUGGGGAUCGACGGUUGCAAUUUUCCGUCGUGAACGAGGAAUACCUUGUAGGCGCGCGUCAUCAUCACGCGCCGAAUACGUCCCUGCCCUUUGUACACACCGCCCGUCGCUCCUACCGAUUGAGUGAUCCGGUGAGGCUCUGGGACCUGGACGGAAAGAGCGUUUCGCUUGUUCUGUUUGGGAAACUUGGUCGAACCUUAUCAUUUAGAGGAAGGAGAAGUCGUAACA
rnacentral:rRNA from 1 species